GGGCCCGCACAAGCGGUGGAGUAUGUGGUUUAAUUCGAUGCAACGCGAAGAACCUUACCAGGGUUUGACAUCCUGCGAAUCUCUUGGAAACGAGAGAGUGCCUUCGGGAACGCAGUGACAGGUGGUGCAUGGCUGUCGUCAGCUCGUGUCGUGAGAUGUUGGGUUAAGUCCCGCAACGAGCGCAACCCACGUCUUUAGUUGCCAGCAUUUAGUUGGGCACUCUAGAGAGACUGCCGGUGAUAAACCGGAGGAAGGUGUGGAUGACGUCAAGUCCUCAUGGCCCUUACGUGUUGGGCUACACACGUGCUACAAUGGUAUCUACAACAGGAAGCAAGACGGCGACGUCAAG
rnacentral:rRNA from 1 species